rnacentral:rRNA from 1 species
AUUGAACGCUGGCGGCAUGCCUUACACAUGCAAGUCGAACGGCAGCAUGAUCUAGCUUGCUAGAUUGAUGGCGAGUGGCGAACGGGUGAGUAAUACAUCGGAACGUGCCCUGUAGUGGGGGAUAACUAGUCGAAAGAUUAGCUAAUACCGCAUACGACCUGAGGGUGAAAGUGGGGGACCGCAAGGCCUCAUGCUAUAGGAGCGGCCGAUGUCUGAUUAGCUAGUUGGUGAGGUAAAGGCUCACCAAGGCGACGAUCAGUAGCUGGUCUGAGAGGACGAUCAGCAACACUGGGACUGAGACACGGCCCAGACUCCUACGGGAGGCAGCAGUGGGGAAUUUUGGACAAUGGGCGAAAGCCUGAUCCAGCAAUGCCGCGUGUGUGAAGAAGGCCUUCGGGUUGUAAAGCACUUUUGUCCGGAAAGAAAUGGCUCUGGUUAAUACCUGGGGUCGAUGACGGUACCGGACGAAUAAGGACCGGCUAACUACGUG